CUUUGGAGAAUAGCUUGACUCCUUCUUCUUUGUGACAUCCCUCAAAUAUUACAAUACUGUUAUCAUGUCACCCCUAGUCCUUCUUUUCUCUAGACCAACCAUACCCGGUUCCUGCAACGAUUCUUCAUAUUU